rnacentral:pre_miRNA from 1 species
CUUAUACUCCCUCCGUCUAAAAAUACUUGUCAUAAGAAUGGAUGUAUCUACAUUUAUGUCAGUUAUAUAUACAUCUAUUUUUAUCAAUUUAUGUGACGAGUUAUUCCGGACGGAGUGAGUAUUUA